rnacentral:lncRNA from 1 species
CUUCUUGAAGAUCACUCAUGUCACAAUCUUCUCCGUAGUAUCUCUUUCCAGAGAUCAUUCGCAUGAUGUUGUUGAAGGUCAUAUCAUAGAAUCUGAAACUAAGUUCUACUUCAGCAAAGGAAGUGGAUGAAUCUUCAGCCAACUUUGUGAUUAGUCGUUGAGUCUCAUCCCUUCGGACUCCAGAGAAGUUGUUGAUACGGUGGUUUGAAAGAACAUCGAGCGAAGUGAUACGACGAAGGUUGCGCCAAUGUUCACUGUAGGAUGUGGAUCCUAAAGUCGUAUAGUUGUAGAAGAUGUAUUUUCCAGAGAGGAACCGUGGCCUAUUAGCUAGGACAACAUCGUUUUUUGUAAAACAUUGUUGAAAUUCAGAUAGAGAAGAAACAACAACCACAAGACGUGAUCCAAACCAAAGUGAAAUGAUAUCACCAUAUGUUUUAGAAAGUCCUUUGAAAGUGCGGUGGAGGGGACGUUUGAGAUGAUGGAGGUUGCCAAUUAUAGGAAGAGAAGGUGGACCUGGUGGGAGAUUUUUGAAUUUUCUUGAUUGGAACAAAAGCCUGAAAAUGAAAAAUAUAGAAAGAUAAAAGAGAGAGUAUGCGAAGAAGGAAAAGAUCCCCAUAAUGAUUGUGUUUGUUUUGAUUAGUGAAAUGCUUGCUAUAUUGUUACUUGUAAAUGAUUGAGUGUGGUGAUAACAAAUAAUGCUGGUAUCUCUAUUUAUAAAGAGCAGAGCAAUAGGACAAGUGGCAUACAUUAAUACAAUAUGGGGCUGCGGUUGACUCAUUAUGUAGUUGCCACGAAAACCAAACCUACGAGUUCAGCGCUUCUGUUGUUCAAACUACUGUACUAUUUUAUUUAAUUUUGUAGCUCAUUUUAUUGACUUCUUAGUUCUUACAAUAUAGUUUUUUAAAUAAAUUUAUACCCUAAACGAGUCCAUUCAAUGCAUUCAAUAUGUACUGGUAAUUUGAUUUUUGAAUUCAAAGUUAAAAAAAAAUUAAAAAAAUUUAUUUUAUAUAAUUAUAAGAAAUUAAAUAUUAUUUAUUAAAAAUACUAGUAAAAUAAAUUUUAUUUUUUAUCUUUUAAAAUAGUGAAUGUUACAUAUUUUUAUGAUAAAAUAUAAAAAAAUUAAUUUAAUAUUUAUAAACAAUAAAAUUAUAUUUUUUUCUUAUAAAAUUAUCUUUCUUAAAAUAAAAUAUCAAUAAAUAACUCUUUGUGUUUAUAAAAUUGAUUUUUAAUUUAUUAAUUUAUAAUGUAUAUAUACCAAAACCAUUCAAUUUAUGAAUUAACUAUAGAAGCUUUAAGCAAAAAUAUCAUUAUUUGUGUGGAGAUUGUUUCAAGAUAAGUUGUCUACAAAGGAUAAUUUAUUUCGUCGAUGAAUCAUUUAUGUGGAAGAUCAACAAUGUGUAGCAGAUUGUGGAGAAGUUGAAACAAUCGGUCAUUUGUUAUUUGUGUGUCUUCUUUUUGGAUCCAUGUGGUACGGUGUUUUGAAUUGGUUUGGACUAUUUGGUGUAUUUCAUAAGGAAGCAAUCAAUCACGCUAAUCAAUUUGAUGGUCUUUUUUCAUGCGGUCGUGUAACACGUUAAAUAAUUAAUUUAGUUUGGUUUGCAGUGAUGUGGAUAAUUUGAAAAUCAAGAAAUAAGGCGAUUUUUCUUUUGCAUGUUAUGAAUGCAAAUCUUAUUAUUGAGCGGACCAAACUUUUAGUAUGGAGGUAAAUCAAAUUGCAUGUAAAAGAAUUUUGUUAUGAGUAUAACCAAUAGUGCUCUCAACACUUCGAGUGCAUUGGUAUCGUUUGUAGUUAAUUGUUUUACCUCUUGUUUGAGUAAUUUAGUUUGUAUUUAUGCUCUAUUUUGGUCAUACAGUAUAAAUAUUGCAAUUUUUUUUUUACUCUUGCUCUAAACACUUCUUCUGUUUAAAACAUUUCUUGAAUAUAUAUAUUUUUUAUUUAUUCAAAGAAAAAAAAAUAUAGUGUACUGAGGCGUUGUUGAAUAUAUAAGCUCUGUUAUUUAAAUCAAGAUUCCGUUGUGUUACUGUAGAUAUUAACUCAUGAGAUAACUUGAUGAACUAACUGGAUUCAUAUAACUUGUAGAAAUGAUAUGCAUAAAUUUUUUUAGAGUAAUUUUUAUUUUUAUAUAAAUAGUAGAUAAAAAAUUAGAAAAAAAAUUAUAAAAAUUGGAGAAAAUAUAAAGAGAAAAAAGAAUGGUGACGAAAAAGAUAGUUAGAAAUUGAAUAGAAAUAAUUAUAAUUUCAAAUGUGAAAUUGAAAAUGAGAGAUAAGAGAAUAGGAAAGAAAUAAAAAAAUAUAAAAAAAAUUAAAAAGAGGAACCAUUAACCAAACAAAUAGUGAAAUUUGAAAACCACAUAUUAUUCUCAAGCUUGUUAUUUUUAUCAAAUAUGAUAUUUGAAUACUCCAUUUUACUCAACACACAUCUAAGACUUUAUUUUGUCUCUAUAUAUCUCUUUUAUGAUAUCAAACUCUAUAUUCUUAAGAUGUACAAUAGGUGGAUAGGUAUACAAAAAUAAUUUUUAUUCUAGUCCUAGCAUAUAAAAUGCCAUGAAUGUGGGAGAAAUACUUAAUAUGUGAUUAAUUUAAUUAGAAUUUAAUGGUGAUGCAUUCUCGGUAUAAAAUAAUAUUUUAAAAUUAAUUUUAUAAUAACAUCUAAUAAAAAUACGAUCUUCUUAGAUAAGUUUAUUUUGUAACCACAAUUUAAAUAUAAUUGUCAAUUAUUAUAUUUUUUUUAUUGGAUGUUAACUUAAAAUUGAUUUAUGAAUUUUGAAUUUUAUAGUUCCUUUUGACAUUUUAUUAAUUAUCAUUACAUUUUGCAUGUAUAUCGUAAAAACUUAAUUAUGAUAUUGAGUUUUUUCUUAUCAUUGACCAUAUUUCUUGCCCAAGAAAUUUUAUGAAUCUAUCAUUGAUUGCAAAGAAAAAUAUUGCAAAAAGGAGAAGAAAAACACUCCAAAAGCCCUAUAUGACAAGAAGUAAAGUUAGAAAAUCUUGGUGCAAGAUAUUUUUUAUCUUAUAAACCGAGUUUGACCAUAUUAUAAAUAGUUUGGUAAUUUCACUUUUGCAAAAUAUUUGGAUGAGGUCAUAGAAAUAGGUUUAUUGACAAAACAUUAACAGAAAAUGUUUAUUGAAUUUUUUUUAUAAAUAUAUAUAUAUAUAUAUAUAUAUAUAUAUAUAUAUAUAUAUAUAUAUAUAUUUUCUAUUUUCUUAUAAUUAGGCGCGCUCUCGUNNNNNNNNNNNNNNNNNNNNNNNNNNNNNNNNNNNNNNNNNNNNNNNNNNNNNNNNNNNNNNNNNNNNNNNNNNNNNNNNNNNNNNNNNNNNNNNNNNNNNNNNNNNNNNNNNNNNNNNNNNNNNNNNNNNNNNNNNNNNNNNNNNNNNNNNNNNNNNNCAAAAAGAGAAAAUGUAUUUUAUAUUUUUUUUAUAUAUAUAUAUAUAUAUAUAUAUAUAUAUAUAUAUAUAUAUAUAUAUAUAUCCAUAUUCUGUAUUGUCCUAAUUAGGAUGGCGCUAUCGAGGCUGCACAGUACAUUUUCUUUUGAGAAGUUAUGUUUCUGUUUCAACUGAUAAAGUGGUUUUCACACUAAUAUUAAUUAAUCCUAAUAUGUUUUUGACUCAAUAUUAAAUAUCCUAAUAUAAAACUACUAGUGUUUAUUAUUAUAGUAAAAUAAAAUAAAAAUGAAAAAUACAUAUACUAAUGCAACUAUGUAUUGAUGUAUAAGAAGUAGCACCCAUAUAAAACUACUACAAAUACAUCAAAAAGUGUUUUUUUUUGUUGUUGACGAAACCAUAUCAAAAAUACAUUUCUUCAAUACAAAAAAUAUAUUAAGGAUUUCACAAAUAUUAAUUAUAUUUUGAAAAUAUAAAAUGUAUAAUUUUCAACAACAAAAAAUACAAUUCUUCAAUACAAAAUUUAUAUAUUUAAUACAUUAAUAAAUGUCAGAAAAAUACAUAUUAGCAUUUCUUUAAGAUUAAUUAUAAUUCAUUCACGUGGAAAAUAUAUCAUUUUAUUGUUAAAAUGAGUGUUAUAUAUACAAAUCACUUAUUUAAAAUUUGUUUAAUGUCAAUUUCUAAAAAAAAAACACUCAAUUCUUCCAAUAAAGGUGGUUUAAUACUACUAAGCACUCACGAUUGUGAUUUCUACCUUCAAAUGGUUAUAUAACAUAUAACCACUUUGAAUGUGAUCAACAUACACUUGCGACAGCCAACCUUCAGAGUUAUUUGGUUUGUGUGCUAGUUAAAUAUAGAGAAUGUAAUUAAUUGAGUUUAACUUGUUACUUUAUUCAUCCAAAGUGCAAUAGUGUGGGGAAACAAACAAAAAGAUUCUUUCGGAUCUGGUAGUAAAAAUUACAAGUAAUAAACAACAUAUAUACACUUUUUAUUAGAGAAAAUCCAGAUACGGUACUUUAUUUGCAUAUUCGCUACACUUAUUUGAGAAAGCACGGUACUUUCUCUCUGGAUUCCACAAAAUUACAAAUGAAAUAAUUAAUAUGAAUAAUAUAGCAUCGGACUAUCAACCAAUUGCGAUAUAAGUUAAUUACUUGAAAACCUUGUUGACCACCGGACGAGUUUUACACAUGGCCUUUAAUGGAAUCAAUUUUGUUAAAACGAAUCCAUCUCGUUCUGCCAUAUCAAUCUUGUCAUCACUUGUACGUUUCCAAUCAAAGCAUUGAACCAAUAAUGCCAAAGUCAUGCUAAUUGUUCGAAGAGCCAAAGCUUCUCCAGGACACACUCUUCUUCCCAUCCCAAAUGCAAUCACCUUUUCAAUCUCCCCUUUUUUGUCAAACCUCUCCGGCUUGAAGCUUGUGGCCUCACUCCAUGACUUAGGAUCUCUGUGAAUGGCCCAUGCAUUAAUCAAUACUAUGGUGUCUCGUGGUACUUUAUAUCCUCCAAUAAUGCAAUCAUCUGAAGUUGAGUGUGGUAAUAACAAUGGAGCGGGAGUACACAACCGAAGCGUCUCAUAGAUGACAUUUUUAAGAUAAGUAAGUUUUGGAAGGUCUGAUUCAUCUACCAAACGAUCUUGUCCUACAUGAAUAUCCAAUUCAUCCUUUACCUUCUUCAAUAUCUCUGGAUGGUUCAACAAAUUAGACAUUGACCACUCUAAAGUUACAGCAGAUGAGUCGGUUCCAGCAAGGAGCAUGGCCUGCAAUUUUAACUUAACUUGAUCAGUAAAUAAUGACUUAGAAGAGUAAUUUAGUUAUAUAGAUAGUGAAAUUAUGAUUCAAAGUAAUUAUCAUGUAUAUACCAAAGCAAGGCCUUUGAUGAUCUGAUCAGUGUAGUACUCAGGUUGUGAUUCUUGCAAAUUUAGAAGAUGGUCAAUCAUGGUGUUUGUACGUUCCUUCUUGUUGCGUUGUUCUUGAAGGAGGCCUCUCAAGAAUGCGUCCGUUUUGUCAGCAAUAUUCUUAACCCUUUUCUCCAAGUUUUCAAAAUCAAAAAAUUUAAGCAAAGGCAUGAAAUCAGUUUUGUUAUUUGCACCAGACAAUUGCAGCAGUUCAGUAACCAUAUCCCUGAAUUGACUUGCUUCUUGAAGAUCACUCAUGUCACAAUCUUCUCCGUAGUAUCUCUUUCCAGAGAUCAUUCGCAUGAUGUUGUUGAAGGUCAUAUCGUAGAAUCUGAAACUAAGUUCUACUUCAGCAAAGGAAGUGGAUGAAUCCUCGGCCAACUUCGUGAUUAAUCGUUGAGUCUCAUCCCUUCGGACUCCAGAGAAGUUGUUGAUGCGGUGGUUCGAAAGAACAUCGAGG